UGAGGAUGGUUGGUAGGGAUUUGUUGGAUUAGGUUACCUGAGCUAGAAAGCUCAACCCUGAAUAGGGGAUAGAGUCCCCCGGACUUGAGGAAGAAUGAGAAAGCAAGCUGAGCACAGGCAUUUAUCCAUGGCCCUGCUUCCUGAACUUAACAUGCCAUAUGAGCAACUGUCUCUUGCUCCUGCUUCUGUGACUUCUCAUGAUAAAUCUACCUUCCAAAUGUAAGCCAAAAUCGAUCCAUUCAGGUGUUAGCCACAGCCACAAGAAAGAAACACUGUCUACUGUGAGGUGUUUUCCAACCCCGAAACUCUAUCAAAACAUCUCCCCAUCAGAAAGAACACACUGUGAACAUGAAUGGCUACUAAGUCCUCAUGUGUCCAAGUUCCUCUUGCAACAUAAUGUCCAGCAUUAUUUAAUGCUAAUGUAUCGCAUCAAGAGAUAAAUACCCAGAAUAUAAUUCACUUAAACCCUCAUCUUCCUCCAUGUAAACCUAUCCAAGCUGAAGUCUGAGUACCUCAGGGGGUUCCUGAGAUGGAGGUCUGCAUUGUGGACAGUUUCUACAACAACAACUUCUGUUGCUUCAGCUCCUGCUACAGUCAUCCCACUGGUAAUGACAGCCUCAUCCCCAGGCUUCCAGUCCACAGCUUCCCCCAGAGUCAACACUUUGUCUCCUGCAUGUGCAGCUGCUUGAAGAUAGGUGACAGUAACCUCUGGAACUGAACCUAAAGCCACCAAGAGAAAACUUGUUCAGAUACUUUGAUUGUUAGUAAGGAUAUGAUUUUAUAAAAGGUGCUUGGAACACCAG
rnacentral:lncRNA from 1 species